rnacentral:rRNA from 1 species
GACGAACGCUGGCGGCGUGCUUAACACAUGCAAGUCGAACGAAGAGCGAUGGAAGCUUGCUUCUAUCAAUCUUAGUGGAACGGGUGAGUAACGCGUAAUCAACCUGCCCUUCAGAGGGGGACAACAGUUGGAAACGACUGCUAAUACCGCAUACGAUCUAAUCUCGGCAUCGAGGAUAGAUGAAAGGUGGCCUCUACAUGUAAGCUAUCACUGAAGGAGGGGAUUGCGUCUGAUUAGCUAGUUGGAGGGGUAACGGCCCACCAAGGCGAUGAUCAGUAGCCGGUCUGAGAGGAUGAACGGCCACAUUGGGACUGAGACACGGCCCAGACUCCUACGGGAGGCAGCAGUGGGGAAUCUUCCGCAAUGGACGAAAGUCUGACGGAGCAACGCCGCGUGAGUGAUGACGGCCUUCGGGUUGUAAAGCUCUGUUAAUCGGGACGAAAGGCCUUCUUGCGAAUAGUGAGAAGGAUUGACGGUACCGGAAUAGAAAGCCACGGCUAACUACGUG